rnacentral:rRNA from 1 species
UACGUAGGGGGCAAGCGUUGUCCGGAAUCAUUGGGCGUAAAGCGCGCGUAGGCGGCCCCGUAAGUCCGCUGUGAAAGUCAAAGGCUCAACCUUUGAAAGCCGGUGGAUACUGUGGGGCUAGAGUACGGAAGAGGCGAGUGGAAUUCCUGGUGUAGCGGUGGAAUGCGCAGAUAUCAGGAGGAACACCAAUAGCGAAGGCAGCUCGCUGGGACGUUACUGACGCUGAGGCGCGAAAGCGUGGGGAGCGAACAGG